rnacentral:rRNA from 1 species
CGUUAAUCGGAAUUACUGGGCGUAAAGCGCGCGUAGGCGGUUUAUUAAGUCAGAUGUGAAAUCCCCGGGCUCAACCUGGGAACUGCAUUUGAUACUGGUAGGCUAGAGUGUGGUAGAGGUGAGUGGAAUUUCAGGUGUAGCGGUGAAAUGCGUAGAGAUCUGAAGGAACAUCAGUGGCGAAGGCGACUCACUGGGCCAUUACUGACGCUGAGGUGCGAAAGCGUGGGUAGCAAACAGGAUUAGAUACCCUGGUAGUCCACGCCCUAAACGAUGUCAACUAGGUGUAUGGAAAUUUAAUUUCUGUGUAUCGAAGCUAACGCGAUAAGUUGACCGCCUGGGGAGUACGGUCGCAAGACUAAAACUCAAAUGAAUUGACGGGGGCCCGCACAAGCGGUGGAGCAUGUGGUUUAAUUCGAUGCAACGCGAAGAACCUUACCUGGCCUUGACAUGUACGGAAGACUUUAGAGAUAGAGUUGUGCCUUCGGGAACCGUAACACAGGUGCUGCAUGGCUGUCGUCAGCUCGUGUCGUGAGAUGUUGGGUUAAGUCCCGCAACGAGCGCAACCCCUGUCCUUAGUUGCCAUCAUUUAGUUGGGCACUCUAAGGAGACUGCCGGUGACAAACCGGAGGAAGGUGGGGAUGACGUCAAGUCAUCACGGCCCUUAUGGCCAGGGCUACACACGUGCUACAAUGGGCAGUACAAAGGGUUGCCAACUCGCGAGAGUGAGCUAAUCCCAUAAAGCUGUUCGUAGUCCGGAUCGCAGUCUGCAACUCGACUGCGUGAAGUCGGAAUCGCUAGUAAUCGCAGAUCAGAAUGCUGCGGUGAAUACGUUCCCGGGCCUUGUACACACCGCCCGUCACACCAUGGGAGUUGGUUGCACCAGAAG